AAGACCGUGAGGUGGAGCAAAACUCAAAAACUUGUCUCAGUUCGGAUUGUAGGCUGAAACUCGCCUACAUGAAGCUGGAGUUGCUAGUAAUCGCGAAUCAGCAUGUCGCGGUGAAUACGUUCCCGGGCCUUGUACACACCGCCCGUCACACCAUGAGAGUUGGCAAUACCCAACGUACGUGAUCUAACCCGCAAGGGAGGAAGCGUCCUAAGGUAGGGUCAGCGAUUGGGGUGAAGUCGUAACAAGGUAUC
rnacentral:rRNA from 1 species